GAUGAAGAACGUAGCGAAAUGCGAUAAAUAAUGUGAAUUGCAGAAUUCAGUGAAUCAUCGAGUCUUUGAACGCACAUUGCGCCCCCUGGUAUUCCGGGGGGCAUGCCUGUCCGAGCGUCAUUGCUGCCCUCAAGCACGGCUUGUGUGUUGGGCCCCCGUCCCCCCCUCCCGGGGGACGGGCCCGAAAGGCAGCGGCGGCACCGCGUCCGGUCCUCGAGCGUAUGGGGCUUUGUCACCCGCUCUGUAGGCCCGGCCGGCGCCUGCCGACCACCAUCAAUCUUUUCUCAGGUUGACCUCGGAUCAGGUAGGGAUACCCGCUGAACUUAAGCAUAUCAAUAAGCGGAGGA
rnacentral:misc_RNA from 1 species